rnacentral:lncRNA from 1 species
GGGACGCCUCGUGCAGGAGGGAAAGGGAUAUGAAAUAUGUUUGAAGGAGUAGGCAAGAUGUCCAAAAUCCCAGAAACUACACUAGGUAUUUCAAGCAGAGAGAAUUUAAUAUGGGGGUUUGUGGCACAGGUGAAUGAAGAGUUGAGGAGUCAAACAAGAAGUAGAGACAAAAUCCAGAUAUAAGCAACACCAGGAAACUGAUCUCACCCCUAGGUCAGGGGGGCAAAAGGAAAAUGCAUGUGGGGCUCUCUGAGCCCAAGGUCUCUGUGCCCUCCCAGCCAGGCACAAUGGGAGCACAGAGACAGACUGCCUUGCGCUGGAGCUAAAAUCAUGGAUGAAGCCAUGAGAAACAGGAAGAAGCGGCAGGCACAUCCAGGCUUCUCUCCUCCUCCCAGCAGCCAAUCUCCGGCCAGUGCCUCCCAUUGGCUAAAUCUACCAGGAAGCGAGAACGCAAGGCCUCCCGGGAAAUGUAGUUCCCUUCGCUGCAGCGCAUGGGCACAGCUGGGGAGUGGUACCCUAUGUGCCAUUUAGAUGUCAUUUCUGCUGUAUUCCCCGCAGUUAGCCCUCUGUGCAAUGGUCAGAUUAGGUGCUUAAGAAACCUUUGCUGAAUUAUCAAUUACUCAUGAAACGAGAAAAAUCCAAACAAGUGAUGCUAAGGACUUUAGUCCUAUUACCCCAAAUCCAUAUAAAGUUCUUCAUCCUCAGCAAGACUACCUGAUUGUAUGCAGUUCACCUGAUUAAUUAAAGUGUGCUUAUAUCGCUGAUGAUGGAGAGCUGUAAGCUUCUCCACAGCAUUUUCUCAGCCACUUACGUAUAGAUGGUAAUCACAUUUAGUCUUGCAUGUCUAAAAGCUGGACGAAGUCCCCCACAGCAAUAGGACAAGGUAUGCCACAGGUGCCCUCCAAUCCAGCUGGUGAAGUCAAAACUAACUUCCUGCAAAAGAGAAUCAGUCCACACUGCGAUGAUAAACUGGUCCAGGACCGGCUAGUUAUCACACGGAGUUUGGAAUCCAUUAGUACUGAAUGUUCUUAUAUUCCCUCUUCCCGUCCUUCCUCCAGGCAUUGCCCUCCAUCUCUCUGAUGGUUCAUAUGUGCUAGCCAGCGUGUACAGGAUAUGGCUUCAUUUUCCUGCUGUGAUCUCCUCUGCGAUUUCAAAAAGGUUAAUUCGUUACUUGGUAGAAAAUGUGAAAUUCAACAAAAAUAUUGCCUUUCUUACAAACAAACUAAGCCUGGUCUAGCUGGGGAUGUGAUGUAACAAUUCUCUUGGUGGUCUGCCCUCAAACCAUCAGGUUUCCAUAGCCCUAACAAUGUGGCCAUGGAUCAUGGGGAGCUAGCAUUGCCUCCAGGGUGAUGUCACAGUUCCCAAAUCCUUGCACUAGGUGGGGCCAGCCUCCUGUUGUGUAGACUCAUCAACUAUAACAGUCCUCUGUUCCUGGUCUCUGGAGCUUCAAUUUGGGAAAGCGACCCAUUAGCUUCUGAGGACCAGGGUGAGAGAGGGCAAACUUGAAUGCCCUUCACAAUGGAGAGAUGUGUGCAGACCGGACAGACAUCAGUUCCUUUAUCAGUGCACAGGUAGCUGCAAGCCUGCAUGUGGAGAGAUAAAACCCAGACAAAGAGGCAGACAUGAGCAGAUGAGCUCCCCCGAACAGGAGACAAGUGGGCUGAGAGGUGAAGGAAGAGGAUGAGGCAGCCACGAACGCUCAAUGAGACAUGACAAGUCAAGUGUGGAGCCCAAGCCCUUCGCCCAGAGGAGCUCAAAAAAUAUUAGCAGCCGUUACCAUUGGAGCCUCUGCCUCCUAGACCUGCCUCAAUAUCUAUGGAGGGUGGGAGCAGAGUCACUUUUCCUCACUGGACCUCAAUUUACUCCUCAGAAAGACAGCAGUGAUGAUGCCCUCUCAAGAUACCCUCUAACUCCAGAAUCCCUCUCUCUAUUGAUCAUGUAGGAUGAGGCAGUCCAAGUUAAAACAAACACUUUGUUCUAUUUCUCAUUUCAUUUUCAUAAAAGCCU